GACGAACGCUGGCGGCGUGCCUAAUACAUGCAAGUAGAACGCUGAAGGAGGAGCUUGCUCUUCUGGAUGAGUUGCGAACGGGUGAGUAACGCGUAGGUAACCUGCCUGGUAGCGGGGGAUAACUAUUGGAAACGAUAGCUAAUACCGCAUAAGAGUAGAUGUUGCAUGACAUUUACUUAAAAGGUGCAAUUGCAUCACUACCAGAUGGACCUGCGUUGUAUUAGCUAGUUGGUGGGGUAACGGCUUACCAAGGCGACGAUACAUAGCCGAGCUGGGAGGGGGGUGGGCCACACUGGGAACGAGACAAGGCCCAGACGGCUACGGGAGGCAGCAGUAGGGACAGUGGGGAAAAGGACGGAAGUGGGACAGAGCAAAGCCGGGGGCGUGAAGAAGGGUUUCGGAUCGUACAGCUCUGUAGCAAGUGAAGAACGAGUGUGAGCGUGGAAAGUUCACACGGUGACGGUAUCGGACCAGAAAGGGACGGCUAACUACGUG
rnacentral:rRNA from 1 species